UCUUCCCUCUGCUCGUCAUUGCUAUCACGUGCCUAGUCUUGCGAUUGCCUAUUAGUUAAUAGUUACCAGGUAACUUAACUAACUAGUUGACUUAAGUUAGUUGUCGUUAAUCAUGUUAAUCAUUUGAGCAAGGCCAUCGGAGACGCCCUCCCCUCUGCCAAUCUCCGUGAUGCUCUGACCUCAACUUCUCCCUCAGUUCCUACAAUCUUAUUUAGUUAACGGCGCUUUCUUUGAUCAGCGGAAGAGGUCUGCAAUCGCCCACCCCCAUUGGUUCCAUACCGUUAAAUCCGGACAAUGUCCAUCUCGGCGCGCCGGCCUUUUUCAUUCCCCGAAGCAUAUACUACGUACGUCCUCCAGACCGCACAUCUUGGCACCAACACCAACAGCUCGCUCUGCCUCGAUCUAUCCAUAGUGUCCAUACCUACUACGCAUGUAGUGAGCAAUGUCAAAGCGUCGAGGAUCUGGUCGUUCCUUUUGCUAUCAUAUUAUGCAGUGCGGUGCAGUGCACCAUACUGAUUGACAACGAUGGCCGUUAUAGAUAGAGUAAGCCCCUUUUCAGGCUAGCACAGCACCCCGAUGAUUUACGGCGGUCUAGUUAGUCUGCGGCAGCGCAUGACUAUUUUACAUUGUGAGACUAUCUACAAAAGAGAGAAGAUAUAAUGACACAUCGACAUGGGAUUCUAAGUUCGAAGAUUGAACCAUUGACGGUUGAAUCAUGCUUUUUUUUUUGUCUAUCAAGUCGAUUCGAGCGGGCGUCUGUCUGGCACCACCACCCUACGUACGUAGCACCAAAACCACCGAGCAAUGCAACCUUCAUGGCCCCUAGCGUACCGCAGAGAUGAGGGCGUUGUUGCAAAAGCGCCUAACCUUCUUUUUGAGUCUGUGAGAAUUUUAUGGUUCCAAACGUGCUCCUUACUUUAUUCGUCCUAUCAGGAGCGGCGAUGACUAUGUCUCUACUUUCUUCUGCUGUGGACAGUCGAACGGGUAGCUACCGAAAGAUUCGGAGAAAAAAAAAAUAGAAAAAGAAAGAAAAAGAAAAAGAGCUUUGUCCGGGUUUCGACAUAGCGUGGGCACGUCAACACAAUAUCAGCUGGGCUGUUUCUUUAUUUCACCUGAUCUCUUUGUUGAGCCACAAUGUUUAACCCAACUGGUAGCUUUUGAAAGGGUUGCCUUUUCCAUUCCACUUGGUCAGGUCAACCUGCAGACGGAUCUGGUUUUCCCUCCCUGUAUAAGAGGAGUCAUGCUCAAAAUACUCAAAAAUAGAGCGAUUGAUCCAUGAGUCGCCGAUGCUGCCGCCGUUCUUGCCGUUGUUUGCAAGUCAACCGGUUGAUAUCGAAAUAUUGAACGUCGCCGAAGCAUAGACCAGACAGACGUCUUUGACGUGCUACAAUCUGGUUGGAUGAUGGCUUGCAGCUGCAGGGAAAAUUUCCAAAUCAUCCCAUAGGAUCAAAAUCCCGGUUUGAUCAUGCCUCCAAUCUCAGAAGCGUUCCAAGUGGCGGUGAAUAUGUUUUGACAAAUGAUAUUGAUACUGGCGGCUAGCAGCGAUAUGCCAGAGCAGGAAGUCUUAGUUGCUUGUCUGCGGCUCCAAAUGAGACAAGCUAGACGGUAGUCCACCCCAAAAGACCGGUAAUGUACCCGCACUUCCUGCAGGGUUACGGCAUGGACGUGUAACCAGACAAGGCAGUUUUCUGGAUUCUCCAACGUCAAUGGGUGCCAAUGAAGCCAGGGUGAUCAAAAUAAUUGUUCAAUUCUUCAGAAACCGACCAAUCCAGUCUCGAAAAGGCCAAAGCGGCGACCUUUAAACGGCGACCUCUGCGAGUCAGUCAUACGAUUGAUAUUCCGGGAGGCAAACAAAGACCUUCGACAUACGUGCGUAACGCAAAAACUCGGAACUAUGUAUGGAUCCGCGAAAUGGCAUUGGACUCGCAGAGUCUAUUCGACGCCCUGACACGAGUUUGUAAUUGCAAUCUCGAUUGCCCCUGAUUUACCUCCGUCGUCUGAGACCUGCAUCUAACGAGAUAGUUUUAGCUUCCAAACUCAAAACUAAAGGAGGGGAGUGAAACGUUUGCCUAAUUUUGUACCACCAAACAGGAAAACUUUAAGAUUAUGGCAAUGUACACGCCACCUGUCUGUGUCACAGUCAACUCUCCGUGCCCGUACGAAAACAAUGAUAGGUGAAGAAAGACAACGAGGCAAAUAACGCCCAUCAUCCAUGUGUUUCUCAAUUUUAAGGGUUUCAGCGCGCAUAGACCAAGCAAUCAAGCUGACAGAACGGAACCAAGGAACAAAAGCAACCCACCCUUUCCACGGCGUCUACACUUCCCGGUGUCAAGUUGAACAAGACCAGGACAUGAACCCAAAGCUGGCAAAAUCUCCGUUUCGUCCAACCAAACCUCAAAUCCUCUUUAUACAUUUUGGGUCUGGUUCCGGGUUGUUUCAACGGAAACUUUCCUAGAGUAAAGGCUAAUGCUAGUACGUACCGGGUUCCUGAAAAGGGCUAGUUAAUAUAAGCCUUCCUCUCACUCUCUGUCUCUCUCUCUCUCUCUCACUCUCUCUCCCUCAGGACUGAUUACUAUCCAUGCACACCCGUCACCUAGACAGUGCAUACAUACAUGAUCUAAAUUUAUAGAUAGACGCCUUGAUAGUUCGUAACUGCGUAUAGAUGGAGAAAACAAAUCCCCGAAACAGGAAGAAUGCCCGGCCAAUGUGCUUUCAAAAUGAUCUUUCACUCAGGGCCAAUCGAGGGGGGUUGGUUGUCAGAUCUGGGAUUCUAGAAUAUGUUAGUCACAAGGCCAUAGGCCAAUUUCCGAUUUCUGAUUGAGAGUCUGGAUUUUUCUUUUCAGUUUAUACAGGAAUAUCCAUGUAUGUCCCGACAUAACUUUUUGGAGGAUCCGUGGAUAAGAAAAAGCCAAAAUCGAACCCGAAUGAAUUACCCAGUUAGGUAAUUACGGCGGAGAAACACGGUUGGGGGGUACAUACACACAGACAUACAGACAUACAUACAUACAACAUGUACAUGUAUAGGCAUGGGUAUGAGCAUGGGCAUGACGAGGCUGGGGUUUGUUAUGUCA
rnacentral:lncRNA from 1 species